GAUGAACGCUGGCGGCGUGCCUAAUACAUGCAAGUCGAGCGGCAGCACGGGGCAACCUGGUGGCGAGUGGCGAACGGGUGAGUAAUGCAUCGGAACGUACCUUUCAGUGGGGGAUAACGUAGCGAAAGUUACGAUAAUACCGCAUAUUCUGUGAGCAGGAAAGCAGGGGAUCGCAAGACCUUGUGUUGAUUGUGCGGCCGAAGUCGGAUUAGCUGGUUGGUGAGGUAGCGGCUCACCAAGGCGACGAACUGUAGGGGGUCUGAGAGGAUGAUCCGCCACACUGGAACAGAGACACGGUCCAGACUCCUACGGGAGGCAGCAGUGGGGAAUUUUGGACAAUGGGGGCAACCCUGAUCCAGCCAUGCCGCGUGAGUGAAGAAGGCCUUCGGGUUGUAAAGCUCUUUCGGCCGGGAAGAAAUCGCACGGGCUAAUACCCUGUGUGGAUGACGGUACCGGAAUAAGAAGCACCGGCUAACUACGUGCCAGCCGCCGCCGUAAUAC
rnacentral:rRNA from 1 species